GAUGAACGCUAGCGGCAGGCCUAAUACAUGCAAGUCGAACGGUGUCUUCGGGCAUAGUGGCGCACGGGUGCGUAACACGUAUGCAACCUACCUUACAUUGGGGGAUAGCCUUUCGAAAGGGAGAUUAAUACCGCAUAAGACAGUAGCUGGGCAUCCAGUAGCUGUUAAAGAUUUAUCGAUGUAAGCUGGGCAUGCGUCCAAUUAGUUAGUUGGUGAGGUAAUGGCUCACCAAGACGAUGAUUGGUAGGGGAACUGAGAGGUCAAUCCCCCACACUGGCACUGAGAUACGGGCCAGACUCCUACGGGAGGCAGCAGUAGGGAAUAUUGGGCAAUGGACGCAAGUCUGACCCAGCCAUGCCGCGUGCAGGAAGAAGGCGUUCUGCGUUGUAAACUGCUUUUAUAUAGGAAGAAACGACCCUUGCGAGGGGCAUUGACGGUAUUAUAUGAAUAAGCACCGGCUAACUCCGUGCCAGCCGCCGCGGUAAGAC
rnacentral:rRNA from 1 species